UGUUUAACAGCCUGCCCACC
rnacentral:siRNA from 1 species